UCCUUCGGGACUUCAAUAAAGUGGCGCAAGGGUGAGUAACACGUGAAUAAUCUGCCUCAGAACCUGGGAUAACUCGGCGAAAGUUGAGCUAAUACUGGAUAAGACCACGUUUCAUAAGAGAUGCGGUAAAAGGAGCCUCAAGCUUCAUUUUGAGAUGAGUUCGCGUACCAUUAGCUAGUUGGCGGGAUAACAGCCCACCAAGGCUACGAUGGUUAGCCGGCCUGAGAGGGUGAUCGGCCACACUGGAACUGAGACACGGUCCAGACUCC
rnacentral:rRNA from 2 species